ensembl:lncRNA
GUCUCAGCACAAAUGAAGAUUUAAUGUUCAAAAACAGGUCUACAGUAUUGACACAUCUGUUUAGAAAUCAGGAAGUGGUAGGAUUACAUUGAUACAUGCGCAGUUAACAUUCUGGGAAACAAUAGUGCAACCUUUAAAGUAUGAAAACAAAGAGAAAGCAUCAUAUUAGUUGAUUAAAAAAUGCUUGAAGCUAACUGUCGAGAAAAAGCCAUUCCCCUCUUUAUAUGUUGAUACUUCUUCAUAUUCACUUUGUGUUUUGCAAGCGUGUCACAGCAUGUCUUUAUCCUGUCUUCUUUCUCUCACCCCAACCGGCCGCAGCAGAUGGCCCCGCCCCUCCCUGAGCCUGGUUCUGUCGGAGGUUUCUUCCUGUUAAAAGGGAGUUUUUCCUUCCCAGUGAUGCCAAAUUGCUUGCUCAUAGGGGGUCAUAUGAUUGUUGGGUUUUUCUCUGUAUCUAUUAUUGUACAAUUUACUGUGCAAUAUAAAGCGCCUUGAGGCGACUGUUGUUGUGAUUUGGCGGUAUAUAAAUAAAAUUGAAUUGAAUUGAAUUGCAUGUAAAAAAAAGAAUGUAACCAUUUGACUUUGUGUCACGGCCGGGUGGCCAACACAGGGGAAUGGACUCGGGCGCAGACAACACUCCGAGACGCAGUGUGAAUGUAACGCGAUUGUUUAUUGCAGAAAACAAGGUGUGACACACAGUGGGGAGUAGUUAAUCGCAAAAAAACAAAAACCAUGAAUUAAGAGCGAGAGGCACUAAUAUAACCUCUGGAGGAAAUUAAAAAACAAAUGCUAGAAUAAACUAUGAACUUCAAUGAUACUGAGGAGCACAGGUCACUAGAGUUACGCUAUGAAAAUAUUCACAAUACUUUCUGUGGAGCGCCAAACACUAACACUAUGAAAACAACUCAAACAUUUCUAUGGCAAGCAAUGAACUAGUAUAUACUAAGAUUUAACUAGACAGCGCUAAGAAAGGCACAACAAUGUAAACCGUGACCAUGAGCUAUGAACAAGAAUUGUGCUGUGGGAGAGUCCAGUGAAUUAGUCUCUUGUCGUCAGGGGCAGCAGCCAGGGAACCUGACACUGGGUAUUUUCCAGAGCUGGAACCCUGUACUGCAGGGCAAGGGAGGAUUGCAAAGCGGGGCUCCCUGAGCCACUGAAACAAGGAAGACAGGGAUUAAAAAGAGCUCCAGGUGUAGAUCCAGAGAUGGGUAGUAAUUAGUAACAGUCUUACGUGGUGCAGGGGGAGGCAAAGCGUAGGGGGAAGGAAAGGGUCCGGGUGAGGCAUGAGUAAUGGCCGAAAACACUAUUCCGUAGCAAGCUGGGCAGUUAGGCAAGCAGGUGCGUGAAAUGAAGAUGCUAUGAGCAGACCAGCGGCUGUAUGAAGACAGGUUUAUGUCGGUGAGGUCCUGGCAUCCGACAGACUACUGAGAACAGAGGAAAACAAGGUUAGUACAAAUGAGGAUCUCUGACUGUGAAGCCUUCACUAACGAGGGUUAGUUGACGUUCUGGCGAUGAGUGUUUGAGAGCGCUGGUCGUAAGAGUCUGCAGCCUAAUUACUCACAGUUGUGAGUGAUUUCACCCAUUGCCUGAAAAAAAAGAAGAAGAAAAUACAGGUUUAAAAUAUAUAUGUAUGAUUUUAAGUUAAAGCAAAGGAACAAAGGAGAGAAACAGAAAGGAACGGGAAUAGGUGAGAAAACACAAUAGGCUGGAAAACUUCAAAGAUGGGAAGUAAAACAAAACAUGAGACACAAGGAACUUUCGAAAACUACUAAGAAGAAAAACAAAAUGCAUAAUGUGUAUCUUAAUCUACAUUAAUUUCUAAGAGGAAAUAAGGGGGAAGUGAAAUAAACCACUGCAGAAGGACUCCUGAAAACCUAACACAACUUAUUCAGUCAGAAUUUUUUACUUGCAUUUCAUUUUUAUAACGUUUAAAAAUAUGUAGAGUAUGAUAAAAUUGUGAAUGUAGAUAAUGCUGACAAGAGUUACAAGACAAGCAAUAACAUAACAUGGAUAUUUAACGACAUUAAUUUGUUAUAUCUCACCUUCAGCAUCUUCACCUGAUGAAAACAUAGGAAAGAACAGAACAUAAGAUAUCAUUUUACAU